rnacentral:rRNA from 1 species
CCUACGGGAGGCAGCAGUGGGGAAUAUUGGACAAUGGGGGGAACCCUGAUCCAGCCAUGCCGCGUGUGUGAAGAAGGCCCUCGGGUUGUAAAGCACUUUCAGUGAGGAAGAACGCCUGGUGGUUAAUACCCAUCAGGAAAGACAUCACUCACAGAAGAAGCACCGGCUAACUCCGUGCCAGCAGCCGCGGUAAUACGGAGGGUGCGAGCGUUAAUCGGAAUUACUGGGCGUAAAGCGCGCGUAGGUGGCUUGAUAAGCCGGUUGUGAAAGCCCCGGGCUCAACCUGGGAACGGCAUCCGGAACUGUCAAGCUAGAGUGCAGGAGAGGAAGGUAGAAUUCCCGGUGUAACGGUGAAAUGCGUAGAGAUCGGGAGGAAUACCAGUGGCGAAGGCGGCCUUCUGGACUGACACUGACACUGAGGUGCGAAAGCGUGGGUAGCAAACAGGAUUAGAUACCCUGGUAGUC